UCUGUGUAGAGUCAUUGGGGCGACCCCUAGGGCCAAGCAAGCCCAUGCCAUCGUUCCAGAGACCCUGGGCCCACCCCGCUGGUGCCAAAUCCAGGCCUUACCACCCUCUGCCCUGUCUUCUCUGGGGAGUGGAGCAAAUGAUGCUGCCUGCCCACGGGUGCCUCUCUCAGUGCUUACAGGGCCCGAGCCCACUUGCUGGGCUGGGUGGGUGGUGGUGUCCGCCCGAUAGAGCUGGAGAAAGGGGUGAGCGUCACUCUCUCUAGGAGGAUGACGCAAUGUGCUCCACAACCUACACCUCCAUUCACUCAUUCAGCCAGGGCAGCGGAGCACCCCGUCGCUGCCAGGCACUGCCGCGGGCACUUACGUGAGGGACAAAACAAAGGCCCCACCUCGUGGAACUCACAGCCCAGGCCAGGAAGCAGUCGGCUUUGUCUGCCAAAGGUCAAAUAUAAUGGCAAAAACCGCAACUACUUUUGCACCAACCUACUUAAAUCCGCUAGGCUGUUGGGCCGUGCUCCCCUUGACUCUGCCUUCAUGGUGGAAAGCAGCUCCGGGUGGGGCUAAGCAGUCUCGUGCGGGGUGUCCCCAUCACAUCGUACUUGUGGACGCUGACGGCGAACCUCGUGUGAUUUUCAUGGGUCGUGAAUAUCAUCCUCCUUUUGAUUUUCAGCUAUUAAACAACAGAAAACCAUUUUUGGCUCUUGAGCUCUAUAAACACAACUAGCGGGUGGGAUCCACCCCGCGGCUGGAGUUUGCAGACCUGGGUCCAGGAAGGAAGGAAGGAGACGGUACACAGUGAACAUCAUCGCGUGAGCCUGCCCUGCUGCCAGUGGGGACACAGCGGACCAAGCAGGGGUGAGGCAGGGGGCAGGCCUGGCACUAAAUGGGGCAGUCGGAGCGGGCCUUGCUGUGAAUGCCAGAUGGAGCAAAGACCUUUCAUUUUAACGGUGCUGACCUCGCUAUCAAAUACCCAAGUUGGAUGUUGCUGCCACAGAUCCUGUGGGCUGAGGCGUGCCCUGGACUCUCACGGGACAGGCGCUGGCAAACCAGGGGAGGGUCUCACAUGAAAGGACCACAGCAGACUCGUCCCUUUGUCAGAGGAAAGAAAUAGAAUACUGUUUGGAUUACAGAUACUAGUAAAAUAUGAUCUUGAAAAAACAUUUGAUAAAUUACAGCAGGAAUUUAUAAUUUAAAAAAAAUCGCCAGGCGUGGUGGCUCACGCCUGUAAUCCCAGCACUUUGGAAGGCUGAGGCAGGUAGAUCACCUGAGGUCAGGAGUUCAAGACCAGCCUGUCCAACAUGAUGAAACCCCGCCUCUAUUUAAAAAAAAAAAUUAGCUGGGCAUGAUUGCGCAUGCCUGUAAUUCCCAGCUACUCAGGAGGCUGAGGCAGGAGAAUCGCUUGAACCUGGGAGGCGGAGGUUGCAGUGAGCCGAGAUCGCACUAUUGCACUCCAGCCUGGGAGACUAGAGCAAAACUCUGUCUAAAAAAAAAGAAAAAUCACAAUUUCUUAGCAACUAGAAAUAAAAGGAAAUUUCUUUCACCUGAUAAAGGGCACAUAUCAGACAUAUGGAAGAAACUUUAUACUUCAUGUUGAAACAUCAGCAGCAGGAACAAGACAAGGAUGCUGACUCAGUGCUACAAUUCAGCACCGUCAUAGAGUCCUAGCCAAUGCAGUAACACAAGAAAAUAAAUAAGAAGGAUAAAAAUUAGCAGGGAGGAGACAAGGGCAGGAACCAUCUCUGUCCUCUUGUUUCCAAUUAAGCAGAUACCUAAUAAAUUUUAUUAAAUUGGAGGAAAAUUCAUUGUAUCCUUAAAGAAGGUUCUUGAAGGUAACAGAGCAGAAUGGAUCCUUUAGUAGCUAAAGUCUGAAAUAUUCAGUGGUCGUCAAGAAGUUCCAUUGGUCAUGGACCUGCCAAAAAGAUAGAAG
rnacentral:lncRNA from 1 species